UAAGGAAUAUUGGACAAUGGAGGCAACUCUGAUCCAGCCAUGCCGCGUGAAGGAUGAAGGUCCUAUGGAUUGUAAACUUCUUUUGAACGGGAGAAAACCCUGGGUCGUGUACCCAGGCUGAUAGUACCGUUAGAAUAAGGGUCGGCUAACUUCGUGCCAGCAGCCGCGGUAAUACGAAGGACCCGAGCGUUAUCCGGAUUCAUUGGGUUUAAAGGGUGCGUAGGCGGAACGAUAAGUCAGUGGUGAAAGCCUGCGGCUUAACUGCAGAACUGCCAUUGAUACUGUCGAUCUUGAGUACAUUUGAUGUGGGCGGAAUGUGCCAUGUAGUGGUGAAAUACUUAGAUAUGGCACAGAACACCGAUCGCGAAGGCAGCUCACAAAACUGUAACUGACGCUGAGGCACGAAAGCGUGGGGAUCAAACAG
rnacentral:rRNA from 1 species